CAACUUUCAACAACGGAUCUCUUGGCUCUCGCAUCGAUGAAGAACGCAGCGAAAUGCGAUAAGUAAUGUGAAUUGCAGAAUUCAGUGAAUCAUCGAAUCUUUGAACGCACCUUGCGCUCCUUGGUAUUCCGAGGAGCAUGCCUGUUUGAGUGUCGCGA
rnacentral:rRNA from 2 species